GACGAACGCUGGCGGCGUGCUUAACACAUGCAAGUCGAACGGAAAGGCCCUGCUUUUGUGGGGUGCUCGAGUGGCGAACGGGUGAGUAACACGUGAGUAACCUGCCCUUGACUUUGGGAUAACUUCAGGAAACUGGGGCUAAUACCGGAUAGGAGCUCCUGCUGCAUGGUGGGGGUUGGAAAGUUUCGGCGGUUGGGGAUGGACUCGCGGCUUAUCAGCUUGUUGGUGGGGUAGUGGCUUACCAAGGCUUUGACGGGUAGCCGGCCUGAGAGGGUGACCGGCCACAUUGGGACUGAGAUACGGCCCAGACUCCUACGGGAGGCAGCAGUGGGAGAUAUUGCACGAUGGGCGGAAGCCUGAUGCAGCGACGCCGCGUGCGGGAUGACGGCCUUCGGGUUGUAAACCGCUUUCGCCUGUGACGAAGCGUGAGUGACGGUAAUGUGUAAAGAAGCACCGGCUAACUACGUG
rnacentral:rRNA from 1 species